rnacentral:rRNA from 1 species
GAUGAACGCUAGCGGCAGGCCUAAUACAUGCAAGUCGGACGGGAUUGAGGAGCUUGCUUCUCAUGAGAGUGGCGCACGGGUGCGUAACACGUAUGUAACCUACCUUAAUCAGGGGGAUAGCCUCUCGAAAGAGAGAUUAACACCGCAUAGCAUUAUUGGAUAGCAUUAUUUAAUAAUCAAAUAUUUAUAGGAUUAAGAUGGGCAUGCGGAACAUUAGCUAGUUGGUAAGGUAACGGCUUACCAAGGCUACGAUGUUUAGGGGAUCUGAGAGGAUGACCCCCCACACUGGUACUGAGACACGGACCAGACUCCUACUGGAGGGAGCAGUAAGGAAUAUUGGUCAAUGGGCGCAAGCCUGAACCAGCCAUGCCGCGUGCAGGAAGACGGCCCUACGGGUUGUAAACUGCUUUUGUACCGGAAUAAACCCUUUUACGUGUAAGAGGCUGAAUGUACGGUAAGAAUAAGGAUCGGCUAACUCCGUGCCAGCCGCCGCCGUAA